rnacentral:rRNA from 1 species
AACGAACGCUGGCGGCAGGCUUAACACAUGCAAGUCGAGCGCCCCGCAAGGGGAGCGGCAGACGGGUGAGUAACGCGUGGGAAUCUACCCAUCCCUACGGCAUAGCUCCGGGAAACUGGAAUUAAUACCGUAUACGCCCUACGGGGGAAAGAUUUAUCGGGGACGGAUGAGCCCGCGUUGGAGUAGCUAGUUGGUGGGGUAAAGGCCUACCAAGGCGACGAUCCAUAGCUGGUCUGAGAGGAUGAUCAGCCACAUUGAGACUGAGACACGGCCCAAGCUCCUACGGGAGGCAGCAGUGGGGAAUAUUGGACAAUGGGGGCAACCCUGAUCCAGCCAUGCCGCGUGAGUGAUGAAGGCCUUAGGGUUGUAAAGCUCUUUCACCGGGGAAGAUAAUGACGGUACCCGGAGAAGAAGCCCCGGCUAACUUCGUGCCAGCAGCCGCCGUAA